GGAAGCGGUUCUCCGCUCCUGAAUUAUAAAUUAAACAAUUAAGUUGAUAAAGCUGGUGAUUCAGGUCUUUUCUCGUUGCAAACCCUCUUCAUGUAAUAUCACCAGUCACUAAAGGUGUAUUAUAGUAAUAAGAGAUUCUAAAUACAGGUUUAAACCAUAGAAAAUUAUAUAUAAUAAUUACAUUAAUUAAUUAAUUAUUAAUUAAUUAUUAAUAAUAUCAGACAGGAAGUGAGGUAAUCUGCUGUGGAGUGUAAAUAGAGAGCCUAGGACCUUAGCAUUCAUUCCACAUUUGGAUUCCCAUGCAUACAGACAUAUAGGAUUGCUGUUGGAGAAGAAAAAAAGGGGCUUGAUAGCGGUCAAAAGCUCUUUUUUUGAUACCAAUACUAAUAUAAGCAAUCAAACUCCCCUGAAGAAGUCACUAUAAGACGAAACACGUUGGGUAAAAACUUUUUAUUUAUUUAUUUUUACGUACAAUUUGAACAAAUAAUUGUUUAUCCAAUGA